GAUGAACGCUGGCGGCGUGCCUAAUACAUGCAAGUCGAGCGAACGGACGAGAAGCUUGCUUCUCUGAUGUUAGCGGCGGACGGGUGAGUAACACGUGGAUAACCUACCUAUAAGACUGGGAUAACUUCGGGAAACCGGAGCUAAUACCGGAUAAUAUUUUGAACCGCAUGGUUCAAAAGUGAAAGACGGUCUUGCCGUCACUUAUAGAUGGAUCCGCGCUGCAUUAGCUAGUUGGUAAGGUAACGGCUUACCAAGGCAACGAUGCAUAGCCGACCUGAGAGGGUGAUCGGCCACACUGGAACUGAGACACGGUCCAGACUCCUACGGGAGGCAGCAGUAGGGAAUCUUCCGCAAUGGGCGAAAGCCUGACGGAGCAACGCCGCGUGAGUGAUGAAGGUCUUCGGAUCGUAAAACUCUGUUAUUAGGGAAGAACAUAUGUGUAAGUAACUGUGCACAUCUUGACGGUACCUAAUCAGAAAGCCACGGCUAACUACGUGCCAGCAGCCGCGGUAAUACGUAGGUGGCAAGCGUUAUCCGGAAUUAUUGGGCGUAAAGCGCGCGUAGGCGGUUUUUUAAGUCUGAUGUGAAAGCCCACGGCUCAACCGUGGAGGGUCAUUGGAAACUGGAAAACUUGAGUGCAGAAGAGGAAAGUGGAAUUCCAUGUGUAGCGGUGAAAUGCGCAGAGAUAUGGAGGAACACCAGUGGCGAAGGCGACUUCCUGGUCUGUAACUGACGCUGAUGUGCGAAAGCGUGGGGAUCAAACAGGAUUAGAUACCCUGGUAGUCCACGCCGUAAACGAUGAGUGCUAAGUGUUAGGGGGUUUCCGCCCCUUAGUGCUGCAGCUAACGCAUUAAGCACUCCGCCUGGGGAGUACGACCGCAAGGUUGAAACUCAAAGGAAUUGACGGGGACCCGCACAAGCGGUGGAGCAUGUGGUUUAAUUCGAAGCAACGCGAAGAACCUUACCAAAUCUUGACAUCCUUUGACAACUCUAGAGAUAGAGCCUUCCCCUUCGGGGGACAAAGUGACAGGUGGUGCAUGGUUGUCGUCAGCUCGUGUCGUGAGAUGUUGGGUUAAGUCCCGCAACGAGCGCAACCCUUAAGCUUAGUUGCCAUCAUUAAGUUGGGCACUCUAAGUUGACUGCCGGUGACAAACCGGAGGAAGGUGGGGAUGACGUCAAAUCAUCAUGCCCCUUAUGAUUUGGGCUACACACGUGCUACAAUGGACAAUACAAAGGGCAGCGAAACCGCGAGGUCAAGCAAAUCCCAUAAAGUUGUUCUCAGUUCGGAUUGUAGUCUGCAACUCGACUACAUGAAGCUGGAAUCGCUAGUAAUCGUAGAUCAGCAUGCUACGGUGAAUACGUUCCCGGGUCU
rnacentral:rRNA from 1 species